rnacentral:rRNA from 1 species
UGAGGAAUAUUGUGCAAUGGGCGAAAGCCUGAACCAGCCAAGUAGCGUGCAGGAUGACGGCCCUAUGGCUUGUAAACUGCUUUUGAAGGGAAGUAAAGUGAGUGACUUGUCAUUCAUUGCAAGUACCCUUGGAAUAAGGACCGGCUAAUUCCGUGCCAGCAGCCGCGGUAAUACGUAGGGGGCAAGCGUUAUCCGGAUUCAUUGGGCGUAAAGAGCUUGUAGGCGGCCCGUUAGGUCAGGAGUCAAAUUCGGGGGCUCAACCCCCGCGCGCUCCUGAUACCGGCGGGCUUGAGUUUGGUAGGGGAAGGUGGAAUUCCCAGUGUAGCGGUGGAAUGCGCAGAUAUUGGGAAGAACACCGGUGGCGAAGGCGGCCUUCUGGGCCAUAACUGACGGUGAGGAGCGAAAGCUAGCGGAGCGAACAGGAAUAGAUACCCUGUGAGUCCUAGCCGUAAACGAUGGACACUAGGUGUGGGCGAAUGUUUCCUCCGCGCCGCACCCGACGCAUUAAGUGUCCCGCCUGGGGAGCACGGCCGCACGGCUA